rnacentral:lncRNA from 1 species
UUUUUUUUUUUUCCUCCUUCAGGUCUUUGCCUGAAUGUUACCUUCCCAGACAGGUCUUCUCUGACCACCCUACUUAAAAUUGUACUCCUCUCCUCUACACUCUGGCACAUUAUCGCACCUUCCUUGCCUGAUUUUUUUUCCACAGCACUUACUGCCAUUUGACAUACUACGUAUUUUGCUUAUUUACAUGUUUAUUGCUUGAGAACGUAAACUCCAUGAGAGCAGGGUAUUUUUAAUUGUUUACUACUGUAUUCUUGUGCUAAUAAACAGGGCCUAGCACAUAAAGAAUGUUCACUAAAUGUUUAUUGAAUGAACGAAUCCCUUGGGGCAAAUACUUUGUAGUCCCCUCAAUGCCUAGCACACUGCCUUGUAUGCAAUAGAACACUCAGUAAAUAUUUGAUGAAUGGCCUAUGAUGGAAGACUACUAAUAUUCUACCUUGCAGUUUACUUCGUUCUCUGAGUAUUCCUACAUACAUGGGCUUACAUUAAAUUUCUGAGCUUGUAAACGUGCAACAAAAGGUCAGGAGAAGUCCUCCAUGGACACUGCUGAAAAUAGCGGUAAGACAAAGAUAGGAUGCUGCUUUGAGUAUUUUCUGCCUUUGCCACUUAGAUAAAUCCCUCUCCCACCUCCAUCUCAGUUUUAUCAUAUGUAAAAUGACUAUAUGAUCUCUGAGGUCCCUUCUAUUUUUACAUUUGGUAGUUUUGAGCACAAUGGUCACUUUUAAUUCCAGAAUUGUAUGAUUUUUAUCUUCUCCUAACCCAUGCUUGAAAUAUGCUUAAUGGAAACGUGGUGCAAGAAUAAAGGCUCACUUAGGUCCAAUUAACAAGUAUCACUAUAAAAAUAAUAAAACAUGGUGUAAAAGUCCACAUUAGCAACAUGUAGAUGAUGACAUUGAGGCUUACAUGAGGCAGACAGGACUAAAACCCAGGUUUUUUUCAGUCCCUUCAGGGCUCUUUAUCUGAAGUCCCAUAGAACACUGUAUUUCCUUUCCAAGGGCUAUAAAAGUUAGAUCUUUAUUGUCCAGAUAGUUUGGAAAAUCCAUCCUCCUUCACUUGUCUCAACAUACUUGGUUCCAGCACUAGAAACAAAACAACUUUCUCUUGCAGUGUCUCUUGGAUGAUUCAGGUGGCAUGCCUUCAGUCACUUCCCGCUUGGAAACUGUCUUGCAGGCAAAGGCGACACUGCAAUUACAAUGGGCAAGCAAACUCUUUGCAUGCACGUCUGUGAUGUAAAAACGUUUUAAUUCAGCCCUAUCCUUAUAAAGAGAUAAAAAAUGUGUUCAGAAACAUGCAAACUCGUGGCUGUCAUCCUGAUAAACAGAUUUUCUUAAAGGAAACUCUAAACCAGAGCCAGACUUACUUUCCUGAGCUGAGGGAGGGGAAAUAAAGAAGCAGGCAUGAUUGAUUUCCCGCUAGCGGGAACGAUCUGGCCCCAGACGUCACGAGCAUCCCUCCAACCCUAGUCCAACGUCUCCUGUGCCCGACCGCCUAGCUACAAGGGGCCGGGCUAUGGGUUAGACUCGUCCC